GGUCAAACUAAAGGCGAGGGAGCCGGGAGGCCGGAGGGAGCCGCCGCCGCGCGCCAUGACGAACGCGGCCGAGGCGGCUUUCUCGCCGCCGACGCCGCAAAGCCGCUGCUCCCGCCGCGUCCCCGGCCCCCCUUCAGCGCCCCGCGCCCCCUCCCCCGGCGCUCGCGCGUCCCCGCGCCCCCUCCUCCCCGCUGCGCUCCGGGCGCGCGUCGGGCCCCGGGCGCGCGCCGGCUGGAGCGGGCGCGGGCGGGUGGGAGGCCCCGCGGCCUCCGCGCCAAGACCCCAGUGACCCCCUCGGCUGGUCCCUCGGCCGGAGGCCGCCAGUUGUGCUGUUGUGUCUCUAACAAGACGUGAGGCUCGGGGAUUGGGCAAAGGGGCGUCCUCACUCGGGUGGCGGCGGCCGGCCACGUGGAGCCCGCAGUGUGCUCCGACAGGCGGGGGCUCUGACAUCAGACCCCCGGAGCCGCCCGGGCUGUUCGCUGUGUGAUCUGGAGGAGGGAAAGGCACUGCUUCACACCUCGGUGCUUUUCUCAUCCGCAAAACAGGUAUGGUAUCCACUUCACGGGGUCGUUGUGAGGACUGACCUCUGUGAGGAGUGCAGAGUGGUUCAUUAGUCAGUGCCUGUCACGUUAAGUCCUGAGAAAUGCCCACAUGCUGGCUGUGGUUCCGCCGGCUAUAAUGCCUCAUAAUAGUACAUGGUCUGUUUUAGGCGUUCAGUGAACAAUUGCUAUUCUGUUUAAAGUAGAUCAAACUCAUUUUUAUUUUAGCAAUAAAGACGAUACCAGCUUUCCGAUUUAAUGGAAAUAGUUUGAAAUCACUCUGAUUUAGUGGUAGGGUUUUGAAGCCCAGCUUCUUAAACUCAUAUCCUGGUACUACCACAUAUUAGGUGUGUUACUUUGAGAAAACUAUUUCUCCAUUUCCUCAAUCUGCUAAAUUGGGAUUAUAACAGUACCUCCCUAAUAGAAUUGUUAUGAGACUAAAUGGGUUAACGUAAUAGUUAAUAGCAGUCAAGCGUUAUAUAAUUAUUCCUGGUACACACUAAGCUCCUGAUAAGUGGUAGCUAUUAUUAUUAUUAUUUCAAAAACAUGUUUGUCGUACUUUUUUUUCAGAGCAUAGUUGUGCCAAACAUUUAUAGAUAAUUUAAAGAUAAGCUAACACCUGAUAAUUAGUCCUAUAUAUAUAUUGUUUGAUUUAAAUGGUACUCUCAUAUUUCAUGCUUUUAUUGAAAACACUCUACUUAAAAUUAACUUUCUAUAACUUUGUUUUUCAGCCCCGUGAAACCACUUCUGCUUUUCAUUUUUUGAUGACACAUCCACAUUCCAUACAGGUGAAAACAAGGCAAACGACAGCCACACAGUCAGAAGUGCUGAAGAGGAACAUGCUGUUUUAGUAGUUUGGCAAGUAUGCAUAAACUCACCUGUGCCUACAUUCAGAAUUAGAGUUCACAUUUGAUGCAGGUACUCAGGAAGAUGUCUAUGUUUAUGAAAAAGUCACAGUUAAAUAAAAAUGUGAAGUCCAAGUCCAGGCAGGGAGACUUGUUCUUGAACAAGUGAGUGCUGUCUUUCUAAUUAUAUUCUAUUUGUUCAGUAAACUAAAGGUUUUUUUUUUUUUUUAAUUAAGUGGGAGUUAUUCUGUUAUGUACUUGGAUGUAAAACAUAUUUCAGUGAGUUUCACAUUUUCAUUUGAAACUUGUCAAAUGCUUAAGUUAUUUAAUAAUUUAUAAUACUUAAAGAGAAAUAUCACAGUGCAUUAUGGAAGCAUCAUAUAACCUAAGGGUAGUUUUAUGAAAUGUGUUUUUUCAUGUUUCAGAUUAAGCAUAUUUGAAGGUUCCCCAUCAAUUUACCUUUGAAGCUCAGUGAAUAAAAUAUAAAAUUUUUCUUUCAUAUUCUCCAAUAUGAAAAAGCAUUUAGUAUAUCAUGUGGCUUAGGCUUCCAAAUGCCUUGUAGGUUAAAUACCUAAUUUAUAGUUUUUUAAUUUAUUGCUUUUUUCAUUUGUUUAAUAGUCCUGUGUUUAUAUCUUUAUAUUACAUACUUUUCUGAUUAUAUAGUAGUAUCAUUUGGGCUAUCAGCUUUGUCUCACUUCAGCACUUAGAAAAAGCUCUACAUGAAAGUUGAGUUGUAGUUGAGUCAAAAAAAUUUUUUUCACUUUAUCUUGUUUUAGUUAAUACUAUAAAGCCUUCUGUUACACUGAGCUGUCUCCCACCUUUUAGAUAAUACAUGCCUUGAUUUCUUUAAAAACUGUCCAUUUGUUAGAAUUUUUUCUGAUGAACAUGUGCUUACAAGUUUUAAAUGUUACAGAAUCUGAGUGAAUGUUAAAAUGUUCCCAUUUUCCUGCAUUAUUUUCCAGUUGUCAUUUUUCAUUUAAUUGAUUGAUAGAAAACAUAAUAUAGUUGGAUUUUUUAUAUUUGAUAUGUUCUGAAAUUAAACUCCAGCUAUUUUCUAUCAAGUUUGAAGAUUUUGAUAUCUCGCCUUGUGGUUAUUUGCUAUGCAUUUGGCUUAAAUUAUUUAGCUUCUUCCUGUUUCAUUACAUCUUUCUCAUCUCAUCAGUUCCCAAUAGUAGGAUUUCAUGCUUCCAAACAAAUGUCUCCUAUAGUUCAGUAGUUGAAAACUGUCACUUAUAAUAGGGAAUCUGAUACACCUGAGUUUGCCUUUUAGUUUUAUUUGUUUCAGCUUUUUUUAAAAAGCAGUUCUACCUUUUGAUAAAGAUAAAGUGUUAUUCAGUGGAAAGUAUUAUGUACAAUUAUAAUAAGCAGUUAAAUGAUCUCUCUUCAUUGUUAAUGGCUUGAUAUUGAGGAUUGUUUUUAAACUAAAGAGAUGAUAGUAUCACAUUGUGACUUUUUCUGGCUUUCAAUGAAAGAUGGGAUUUUCUUUGUUUUGUUUUUAACUUUUAAGUUACCAGUGCAUUAUGAAACCAAUAGCAGUUUCACUUUUAGGAUUUUUAUAUCUAUAUAAAGUAGGAUUAUUUAUUAAUAUUAGCACUAACUUCCUUUAACUUUAUGGAAGAGAACCUGUCCUGAGGAUGUUUGUAUAAUUUUAUGCAUAUUAUUCCUGUGAGGCUGAGUAAAACUGUUCCAUCAAUUAAAAUCUUAGCAGUAGAACCUGUUCAUCUACUUAGCUUUCUUUCUUGGGAUUAACCAGAAGCAAUUAUAACUGGCUUUUAAAAGUUCCAAACUUUUCCUUGCUUAUUUCAAAGUGAUUCUUUAGAACUGUUAAGCUAUAUGGUCUGUGUUUGUUCUGCUGUCUGAAGCGACUUACAUACAGGAUUGGGGCUAUUUGUUUUGUUUUUUAAAAGUAGUUUGAAAAAAUUUCUUUGCUACUUGUUCUUCAUGCAACUUUUGUAGGAGUUCAAAUUCCCUGGAAAAAUAAGGGUUUUGUAAGAUUUCUUUGACUGAAGAAGUAUAAAGGUUGCUAAAGGUAUAUAGUUGUCUUAAUAUUGACAUAAAUUUUCCUUAUUCUGUAGGUAUCUGUGAAAAUUAUUGUUUUAGGUAUCCUAUUUAUAUGUAAAAAUCAUUGUUUAAAAUUUUGUAGUAACAUAGUCAGUAGCACAAAAAGAUAGCAUAUUAAUCAGAAUACUGGGUUAUUUCAAGUAAAGGUAUGACUUUGAAUGAGAAACAGGGUUUGGGAAAUAGGUACUGGGAAAUCCUGCAUUCUGUAUUAUUUAGACUAAACGUGAAGAGUGUAUAAAAAUAUUCUCUUCACAGUCACAUACCACUGCCCUUCUUUUUCUUACACUCUGCAGUAUUAAUAAUGGUGAUCCUUCCAAGCUCUUGUGUUUUUACACAAUAUAUGUGGGAUUUAUUAUACCAUGAAAUCAUACCAUAUCUUGUACUUUUUUCCAUGCUUUGGAAAACUUUCCAUAUCUGUGUCUCACAUAUUUUUUUUUAGUUCCAUAUAUAAAUAUACCAGAUUCCCUACUGGUGGAUGCAAAGGUUGCUCCAGUGUUUCACUGUUGUUGUAGGCUGUCCUGCAAAAUACAGAGUAUUUUGAUGCAUUUUUUUUGUGAUUAUUUCUGCAAGACCAUUAGUAAAGGUACAAUUGCUGUGUCAAGGAACACAUCUAUUUGAAAUACUUAUGGGUACUGCAGAAUUAUUCUCCCAGGAGUCUGUGCCAGGUUAUCCUUUGGCUGGCAGUCUAAGAGAGUGCCUGUUCCCUCACAUGCUUGCCCCCAGGGCAUUACCAUUCUUGUUCAUUUUUUGCUGAUCUGAUGGCUGCAAAAAAGUCUGUUUUCAUUCCCUUGUCUAAGAGCAAAGUUAAUAUCUUUCACAUUUCUGUUGGUUGUCUUUCUUUCAUUUUUAUUUGUUUGAUUGUUCAUCCCCUUAGCCCAUAUUUCUUUUGAUUUGUUAAUUUGUUCUCAUUGUUUUCUAGGAAUGCUAUAUAUUUUGGAUUGGGUUACUAUAUGUGUUGCAAGUACUUCCUCCUAAUCUGUCAUGUGUUUUUUAAAACUUUAUUUUAAACCAUUAUGUAAUCGUUGGUAACUUCUGGGUUUUGUUGUCUUAGGAAGGCCCGUUCUAUCCUCAGUAUUAUAAAUGCAUUAUGCUGGAUACAUUAUCCUUUAAUCUUUUGAAACUGUAUUUCAUCAAAGCUAAGAAAUACCGUCAUUGAUUACAUGACCCAGUAUUUUAUAUACUGAGAUAGAGGGAACCAGAUCUUGAGGAAUGCACAGAGUAUUUUGUAAUCAUUUCAAAUUUUAUUUAUAGUUAUGUAAAGAUUUCUUCUAAGGCAUUUAUUCUGAUCAAUUUUGUUUAAACUCUUAUAAAAAGGAACUUCUGUCAGUUCUUUAUCUUUGCAUCAGCAAUCCUCAGACCUCGGGUGUUCCCCUCAAUUUGUCCCUCAUUUUAAUACAGCUUUCAUUAUUACUGUCUGAGUAUUCAUCAGACAGUAAUAAUGUAUAUGGAACACCUUUUAUGAUACAAGUACUUUAUUAGAUACUUUUAUAAUGUUCUCAUCUAACCCUUGCAGCAGCCCUUUAAGAUAAGUGUUAUUAGUGUUCUUUACAGUUGAGGAAACUGGGACUCAGAAAAGUUAAGUUGCUUAUGAUCACAAACCGUUAAAGUGGUGAAGAUUCCUGAGCUCAGAGCAAGCGCCCUGGGUACCAUAGGUAAGUGGUUCAGAGAUGAGGCUGUGGGUCUGAGACGUUUGUAGAGAUUGGAAAACUAAGUACAUGGGAGAUUGACCCUCAGGUAUACAGUCAGCCUAGAAUGGAGCACGUAAAGUGUGUGAUUAAAUGUAUGAUUCUAAUUUUCAUACCUUUCAGAACCAGUGCCUCCAGAUAAAGGUUCACUUUUGCCCUUCUCUUAUUAAUAAGCUUGCUGAUACUCUGGCUUUUGUCAGUUUUUAAUUGUUAUAGUUCUCGAAUCAAUAGGAUUUAUAACUGGAUCUUCCCUUUAAUGUGGGAGGUAAAUGCAGCGGUACCAGAAAUGUUGCGUAACCACUCUCUCCAUCUGUAUGUUAAACCUAAACCAGAACAGGAGAUGAGGACUGCACACUGGCAUGAGCAAAGUCAUUGCGUUUGAAUCACAGUCAGUCUCAGUAGUCAUCCUGCUUGAACCGUUAAAGUAUAUUUUUAAAACUGCAUACAUAAUAAGAAGGGCAGAGUUUUCUUAUGACCCUAAGGAAGUUAUUUAAGCUUUUUAUUUCCACACAAGCAUUUAAAGUUUUCGUUUCAAACUGAACAAACAGAAUGAACAGUCCGGACUGUUUGCUUGUGUAUAAAAAAUGGUUGAACAGAUCGCAGGCAUCUCGGACAGGGCAGGUAGAAGAGUCCCGGGCUCACGUUAGGAACACUAAGUCAAGUGCCUAGAAAACCUGCUGUUGCCACGCCGUACAGGGAUUUGUAGCUCUAAGGGCUGGAGGCAGAGCUCUGGGUAGACAGAGUGCAGGUCUCUUCUCAAGUUUCGUGGCUAUCUGGGAUUGUAAUCCAGAUAGUCUUGUGGUUAUUCCCGUGUGUAACAGGUUGAGUGUGUGAGCAGCAGUGUUCAUAAAAGUUGGCAAACCUGUUUAGCUUGUUUCUCAGCCUUUACAGAUCACUGCUUAUGAAACACUGGUAUUUACAGUAAAUACCUUCUUUUAGAUGUAGGCCAGCCCCAUCCAACCGUGUGUCCUUCAAGAGCUUUGCCCUUUGGUAAGUUGGCACGUGGUUUGAGGUGGCCUUUGGUGAUGGAGUGUCUAAAGGGAAAAGCUAAAGGGAAAGGCAGGAAGAAAGUAACAUUUCCAGGAAAACGUGAUCAUACCGUGGAUGGACGAGCCCUCGAGAGGAUAAAGGAUUAUCUCUGUCUGUGUUAUGUGACCUUUGGCUAAUUCCUGCAGCAUCCUGACUUCAUAGCCUUUUGUGUAAAUGAGAACAUUUGGAUGUGUACACCCCUUUAUCCCUCUGACUCCAUCCGGUGAUCUGUUUUACUGUGCAUUCGUGUAUGUCAGUAGCUCACAGUGUUAAUAUUUAGCAGACUGAGUCCUGGAUGAAACCACCUGAAUUCAUCUGUAAACAAGGUUACCUGUCUCCAAAAUUGUAGCAGUAAUUUAAUUAGAUAAUCCAGAUAGUCCCUUAGCACAGUAUCUGGCCCAUACUAAGCCCUCAGGAAAUAACUUGCUCUUCAAAACUCUGUUCAAACGUCUCAAUAUUACCUGAAUCUUGGACCUCCCAGGUAAAAGGGAGGGCGAGUUCUUCUCGUUGUGCCAUAAAUGUGCCUUCUGCUGUCUUCUCGUUCAGCACCAUGUUAUGGGCGCUAGCAGUGCUGUUCAGCACCGGUGCUAAAACCAUCACCAGUUUAUCUACGUGUCUAGUGCUCCACUUAGACUGUGAGCCCCUUGAGGACAGAAACAAGCUUGUUUGUCUUCAUAAAUUCAGUGUCUGGCAUGAUAAAUUUUGUUGGAGGGAAAAAAGUUUAUUCCUGUUCUUAAAUAAGGUCCCCUCCUCUCUCAGAAGAAGAUAAUGUUGGAACAAAGGUGUCCAGUAGAAAUAUUCUCAAAAAUCCUGGGCAUGGGGACUUCUCUGGUGGUCCAAGGGUUAAGACUCCAUGCUUCCAGUGCAGGGGGCUUGGGUUCGAUCCCUGCUCAGGGAAUUAAGAGUUCCCAUGCCGUGACUAAAGUUCUCACAUGCUGCUACUAAGACCCAGCACAGCAAAAUUAAAAAAAAAAAAUGUUGGGCGUAUUCUCCAAACACCUUUCUUUCUUUUCUUUUUUUUUUUUAAGUUAUUUAAUUGCCACUGUACUCCCAAGGAUUCAAUCAGGUUUUUUACUUUGCUUCUUCACAGUGUUUUCCUUAUUUAAAAAACUAAAGUAAGAAAAUGACUGCCUGAUGGAGAAUAAAGACGUCACAAUGGCAGCACAAAAGAGUUGCUCCUGGAAUCAAGGCCCUGGGUUCAUGUUACAGCAUCUGCUACUUUCUCGCCAUAUGACAGUGAUCGAAUUAUUGUAUCUGUCUGACUCUACAAAGUGGGCAUGCUUCCUGGGACUUCUAACGGUAGAAAUACAGACUCCAGGAUGUGAAGGGCUAGAGUCCUCUGGUGGUGCUCUGGUCUCGCAAGUCUUCUCUAAGUUCUUAUAACUUAAUAGGAGGUGAUAUUCAUGUAGUGCCAGCACUGGACCUGCUUGCUAGAACACACUCAGUUACCUCCUGAGUGGAGUUAGUUCAACUCAUACCAUACCCUUGAAAUUUGGGGGAGGGGGGAGCCUGUUUAUUUUAUCUAAUACACAAUUUUUUAUUGUUAAAGGUAUUUAAAUUAAUUGUACCCUCGGUUCCAUGUUGAAAAACAGAACUAAGAUGUAAGUGGUGACCAAGUGAUUAUACUUCCAUCAUGCCAGUGUUGUAGGGAAGAAUGAACAGCAAAGGCAUACCUGAGAAUUAAGUUUUUCGAUUAAAGGUUAAUAUUUUCUCAACAAACAUAUGGGUCUCUCCUUCAUCCUGUAACUUACAGUUAAGUUUGGUAACUUGAGACACACACAAAGCAUUAAAGCCAACUAGGUCUUCAUUGAUUGCAUGUUCCUUAGAAAAGAUGGCAGUGUAGGGAAAGUUAUUCUUAGUACUACUGGUACAAAUAAAGCUAUUAGGUGCCUUUCAGCAUAGUGGAUAUGGUAUCUGAACCUUUGUCACCUAUGAAAUUUUUGUCCAAGUCACUUCCCAGUUGCCGUUGUUUUAAAGGAACCCCUCAAAAUCCCCCACUGGUAAAUUCUCCGUUCCCUGUUUUACUGGUUUUGAACCUCAUACCGUUUUACUAAAUAAACAUUUUCUCCCAACUCUUCA